rnacentral:lncRNA from 1 species
AUUGCCCUGCUUGGAUUCUGGUGCAUCUUGGAAAGGUCUGACCACUUUCUCUGAGUUACUCUGGUAUUGCCUGUCUUGACAGCAGCUCAGAAGGGCUGAGUCAGUGGUGUUUUGAUGCAGUUCCUGUGCUCCCUGUGAUAGGGUCACCAGGGGUCAACAUAAGGGAGCAUCCCUGCUUGCCUGUGGUGUGCUAUAGUGGAGCUGCAGCCCAGGAGAUAAUUGAAGCCUGUUUGUCUCUUGACCACCAGCCCCCAACACUCUAAUUCUUUGUUCACACAAGCUGCAAGUGGAGCUGAUUCUUUGUUCAUCAACAGCAAGCAAGCGGCUCGUGACCCCAGCAGAUGUUUCUGCAUUUUAGGCUAAUGAGAACUUACUGGAUUACUGCAGUCUUCCCUGCCUUGGAGUAAAUACUACUUUGUUGGACAUCCGGAAACUCAUACUGAACAUGAUAAACAAACUUCUGGCUGGACUGUGAUUGCCAGGACAUGAAAAGAGUUCCACAGCGGCAGAGGAUCUAACAGUUCUGAAUGGCACCACUGAGCCACACCAAUUAAGAGCAUUUCCAGUGAUUAUAGAUGUUUGUAUUCCCAGGAGGAAGGGAUCACUCUUGUUUCUACCAGUCUGUAUCAGAGCUGAUGUUGUAGUUUCUGUAAAAAGACACUAUCUUCAUUGCUGCAUUUUUUUUUUAAUACAAUAUGUGCAAGUGUUCCCAAAAUCUUUAAAUACGUGA